UACGGAGGGGGCAAGCGUUGUUCGGAAUUACUGGGCGUAAAGGGCGCGCAGGCGGCUGCUCAAGUCAGGCGUGAAAGGCCUGGGCUCAACCCGGGAAUUGCGCUUGAGACUGGGCUGGCUUGAGUGCGGGAGAGGAUGGUGGAAUUCCCAGUGUAGAGGUGAAAUUCGUAGAUAUUGGGAAGAACACCAGUGGCGAAGGCGGCAUCCUGGCCCUGUCCUGACGCUCAGGGGCGAAAGCGUGGGGAGCAAACCGG
rnacentral:rRNA from 1 species